rnacentral:rRNA from 1 species
UACGAAGGGGGCUAGCGUUGUUCGGAUUUACUGGGCGUAAAGCGCACGUAGGCGGAUCGAUCAGUCAGGGGUGAAAUCCCAGAGCUCAACUCUGGAACUGCCUUUGAUACUGUCGAUCUGGAGUAUGGAAGAGGUGAGUGGAAUUCCGAGUGUAGAGGUGAAAUUCGUAGAUAUUCGGAGGAACACCAGUGGCGAAGGCGGCUCACUGGUCCAUUACUGACGCUGAGGUGCGAAAGCGUGGGGAGCAAGCAGG